CAGACUAUACUUCCCAGGAUCAUUUCUAUAGUUCCUUACUGGAGAAGUUUCUCUGACUGUGUAGAGUACCAGAAACCACGAGGAGGAAGCGCAGUGUUCUCUGCUGAGCGUGAAGCUGGCCCCGGGUGUUGUUUUGUGCAACUGCCCAUCGCCAGUGAUGAUUGUUCUCUCUCCCCCGGGAGAGUAAGAGGAAAAGAAUGCAGUCUGAGUGGC
ensembl:snoRNA U3 Small nucleolar RNA U3